rnacentral:lncRNA from 1 species
UGGGUUUGGUACCGAAUACCUUGUUACUCGGACCCAUAUUUAUUCAGCAGCAAAAUCUUCAGCCUCACUUACUUAUCAAUCCAAAAAACUUGGAUCCAAAUCCAACCUCUAUGAGUAUUAGUCAAGCUCCAAACAAUCGGCUAAAGGUCAGCAGAGAGAGCUGAGAAUGACGUCAUCUCCAGCCAGACUUGAAGAAUGCAUAUGAAAACG